AAUCAAAUAAGUUUUAGAUAAACAUAUAUUUUGAAAAUAUAAAACAAAGGUUAAAUUCCUUUAUUGGUUU
rnacentral:tRNA from 1 species